CCGCAGCCGGCGGGAGGAAAGCCGCGCAGGCUGCUGUGGAGUGGAACCCGCCCUCCCCCUCCCAGCAAGAUGGAGGCCAGAUAUUGUGAGGCUGUACUGGAGUCUCUUUCCUUUCUCCAAAGCUCCUGUAUUAUGACUGAAGAGCUCAAUUAUCACUGGAAAAUCAAUUCCAAUUUUGUCCCAGUUAUCUGUGUGC